rnacentral:rRNA from 1 species
UACGUAGGGUGCAAGCGUUAUCCGGAAUUAUUGGGCGUAAAGAGCUCGUAGGCGGUUUGUCGCGUCUGCUGUGAAAACCCGAGGCUCAACCUCGGGCCUGCAGUGGGUACGGGCAGACUAGAGUGCGGUAGGGGAGAUUGGAAUUCCUGGUGUAGCGGUGGAAUGCGCAGAUAUCAGGAGGAACACCGGUGGCGAAGGCGGGUCUCUGGGCCGAUACUGACGUGAGGAGCGAAAGCGUGGGGGAGCGAACAGG